UACGGAGGGGGCAAGCGUUGUUCGGAAUUACUGGGCGUAAAGGGCGCGCAGGCGGCUGCUCAAGUCAGGCGUGAAAGGCCUGGGCUCAACCCGGGAAUUGCGCUUGAGACUGGGCUGGCUUGAGUGCGGGAGAGGAUGGUGGAAUUCCCAGUGUAGAGGUGAAAUUCGUAGAUAUUGGGAGGAAUACCGAUGGCGAAGGCAGGUCUCUGGGCUGACACUGACGCUCAUGCACGAAAGCGUGGGGAGCAAACAGG
rnacentral:rRNA from 1 species